rnacentral:rRNA from 1 species
UGGGGAAUCUUGCACAAUGGGCGAAAGCCUGAUGCAGCAACGCCGCGUGCGGGAAGACAGCCCUAGGGUUGUAAACCGCUUUCAGCAGGGAAGAAACUGACGGUACCUGCAGAAGAAGAUGCGGCCAACUACGUGCCAGCAGCCGCGGUGACACGUAGGCAUCAAGCGUUAUCCGGAUUUAUUGGGCGUAAAGAGCUCGUAGGCGGUUCGGUAAGUCGGGUGUGAAAACUCUGGGCUCAACCCAGAGAGGCCACUCGAUACUGCUGUGACUAGAGUGCGGUAGGGGAGCGGGGAAUUCCUGGUGUAGCGGUGAAAUGCGCAGAUAUCAGGAGGAACACCAGUGGCGAAGGCGCCGCUCUGGGCCGUAACUGACGCUGAGGAGCGAAAGCAUGGGUAGCAAACAGGAUUAGAUACCCUGGUAGUCCACGCCGUAAACGAUGAGCACUCGGUGCCGCGGGUAUCGACCCC